rnacentral:snoRNA from 1 species
CCCCUCUCGGGGUCAUACUUGGGGAGUUUCCAGUCCUCUACCAGUCUCGGGUACAGGGGGGAGAGUCGAGCAGAGGCCUAACCAUUCCAUUCCUAGCUUGGGCAGUGGCUAGCGAGUGGAAGGCCAUCUGCUACAAGU